UUAGAGUUUGAUCCUGGCUCAGGGUGAACGCUGGCGGCGUGCCUAACACAUGCAAGUCGAGCGGAGAGGGGGUAGGCGCAAGCCGAGCCCUCUUAGCGGCAAACGGGUGAGUAACACGUGGGUGACCUGCCCCGGCGUGGGGGAUAACCCUCCGAAAGGGGGGCUAAUACCGCAUACGCUCGGCGGGGACGGCCCGUCGAGGAAAGGCCCGGGGAGGAGACGAACCGGGUCGCGCCGGGAGGGGCCCGCGGCCCAUCAGGUAGUUGGUGGGGUAAUGGCCCACCAAGCCGAUGACGGGUAGCCGGCCUGAGAGGGUGACCGGCCACACGGGCACUGAGACACGGGCCCGACUCCUACGGGAGGCAGCAGUGGGGAAUCUUGGGCAAUGGGCGAAAGCCUGACCCAGCGACGCCGCGUGCGGGAAGAAGCCCUUCGGGGUGUAAACCGCUUUUGCCGGGGACGAGAAAGGACGGUACCCGGCGAAUAAGGCCCGGCCAACUACGUGCCAGCAGCCGCGGUAAUACGUAGGGGCCGAGCGUUACCCGGAUUUACUGGGCGUAAAGUGCGCGUAGGCGGGGCUCUAAGUCGGGCGUGAAAGCCCCGGGCUCAACUCGGGGAGGCCGCUCGAUACUGGAGCCCUUGAGGGCGGGAGAGGGUGGUGGAAUUCCCGGUGUAGCGGUGAAAUGCGUAGAUAUCGGGAGGACACCAGUGGGGAAGCCGGCCACCUGGCCCGUCCUGACGCUGAGCGCGAAGC
rnacentral:rRNA from 1 species